UUUUUUUUUUUUUUUUUUUUUUUUUUUUUUCGUUUUGGCAAGCUACUUAAUACUAGUUUACAUAUCACAACCUGCUCUGAGAGCUUCUAUGAGCUAACCAAGGACGAACUAUUUACAUUUACAGGAGAAAAACCAAAACCCAAUAACUG
rnacentral:ribozyme from 16 species